AUGGAAAAGAGGCAUAUGUUCUCUUUAAAAUGUAAAAUUUAAACAUUCAGAAUGAAUUUUUGACAGAUGUGUAUAGCGGGCAACGUUUGCAUAUGGUACAAGAAAAUCAGAAACUAGAGGGAAGGACACAAGGAAGGAAAAAAGGAGCACUAAAGGAACAUUAAACGAGAGCGUGUUCAGCAUUGAACAAUUUUAGAAUGAGACACGUAAAUAUAUGAAAUAUAUUUACGUGUCAAACCUGGACUGAAUUAUUCUACACUGAUUCGAUUCUUCAAUACACCAGCUGUGAUUUGUGAAGUCUUUGCUUUAUUUGGAAAAACAAAACAUGAUGGAUUCUCAGGUUUCCCCCCAAAAAGACGUUAUUGUCAAGUUUAUUUGUCCAGCAUGUUAAAAAAAAACAACAAAGCUCCUAAAGUGUACAGCUAAAAUCUGUCUGGUCUCGCAAACUCAAUAUCAUGCAUCAUCCAAUAGGAUGAGUGUGUGGUUACACCCCUAGUGAACAUCCAACAUAAGUCUGUCUAAAUUUGUUUGCAUCGGCCAUUGUUUACUUUUGAAUCAAAUCAAUGUAACAUUUAGAGACAGAACUCCAUUCACAACAUAUCAAAAGAUACCAUUUAAUUUGGUCCUCUGCCAACCUUUUGCAUUACUUCAGUACGACGUUGUAAUGAUUCAAUUAGUUGUCUAAGUACAAUGUGUCAGUAAAAUGGUUGAGUAGAAGGAGAGCACUAAAAAUAACUAAUAAAUCAAUCACUUAUGUUUGAAGUGACCCUUUAAAAAAGAUCACAUUAAAAAAAAAAGUGCAACAUUGGCUAUUUGGAAGGAAAAUAUGUAAACAAACAAAACUUUUGGGGUGGAUUCAAACAAAACCAGUGAUUGUUGCAAUAGAGAAUGAAAUUAUAAUGAAAAACACCAAAAAACGCAACUUGGAAGCCUUUCUCAGCUGUUAGGACUUUGGUGCCUCUUGUAUAUUUCUUUGUAUUGACUUUUGGCUGUAAACACUGUUAAUAUAAAGUAAUCUGAAUGGAAAAGACUACUAUCUGCACCAUUUUAGGAUUCAUCCACAUGAACAGAACAGAGUACAAGUGACUCCAAUCUUGGCAACCUGUCUAUACAAUGUCUCGUGACUGAGGUGAUCAUUGAAAAUAGUGUUGAUUUGAAAAAAUAUUUUUGGAUUAAUAUCCUGCCCAAUAGCUGUUGGAAGAUACCAGGCCCACAGCAUCACAGACCCUCCACUGUACUUAACAGUAAGCACGAGGAUGCUUUUCCAUAAGUACUUAC